AUUGAACGCUGGCGGCAGGCCUAACACAUGCAAGUCGAGCGGCAGCGGGACCUUCGGGUUGCCGGCGAGCGGCGGACGGGUGAGUAAUGCCUAGGAAUCUGCCUGUUAGUGGGGGAUAACGCGGGGAAACUCGCGCUAAUACCGCAUACGUCCUACGGGAGAAAGCGGGGGCUCUUCGGACCUCGCGCUAACAGAUGAGCCUAGGUCGGAUUAGCUAGUUGGUGGGGUAAUGGCCCACCAAGGCGACGAUCCGUAACUGGUCUGAGAGGAUGAUCAGUCACACUGGAACUGAGACACGGUCCAGACUCCUACGGGAGGCAGCAGUGGGGAACAUUGGACAAUGGGCGAAAGCCUGAUCCAGCCGUGCCGCGUGUGUGAAGAAGGUCUUCGGAUUGUAAAGCACUUUAAGCCGGGAGGAAGGGCUGUAGGCUAAUACCUUGCAGUUUUGACGUUACCGACAGAAUAAGCACCGGCUAACUUCGUGCCAGCCGCCGCAGUAAAAC
rnacentral:rRNA from 1 species